GGAGGGUGCAAGCGUUAUCCGGAAUCAUUGGGUUUAAAGGGUCUGUAGGCGGGCAUAUAAGUCAGUGGUGAAAGUCUGUGGCUUAACCAUAGAAUUGCCAUUGAUACUGUAUGUCUUGAAUUAUUGUGAAGUGGUUAGAAUAUGUAGUGUAGCGGUGAAAUGCUUAGAGAUUACAUAGAAUACCGAUUGCGAAGGCAGAUCACUAACAAUAUAUUGACGCUGAUGGGACGAAAGCGUAGGUAGCGAACAGGAUUAGAUACCCUGGUAGUCUACGCCCGUAAACGAUGGAUACUAGUUGUUUGGUUUUCGGACUGAGUGACUAAGCGAAAGUGAUAAGUAUCCCCACCUGGGAGUACGUUCGCAGAAUG
rnacentral:rRNA from 1 species